GAAAAAAAUUCCUUAUAAGGCAAUUGAUUACAUAAUCGGUUAUAUCAAGAUGGUAACACGGUAACGGCGUGCUGCAAAACUGAAAAUCGACAUACUGAGAUCAUAAUCAAAUCAUCCUAUGUAGUAAACUGCUAAGACAGACAUCAUUGACAUUGUGAUUGUAAGGUAAAGGUCCCCUUCUUCUUCUCUGCCUCCUGUGUCUGUGUUUCCCUCCUACAUGCGGCUGAGAUCUGUGUUCUGUCGUCAAAUGGGAUUGUUUACCGUGGUACGAUGGUUUUGUUUGGUGGUUCUGCUAAGGUAAGGAGUGUGUAAAUAUGUCAAAAAGGGAAAAAUGAUGGGUUUAGUUUACUAGACUAGACCUUUAUGUGGCGCUGUAGAUUAGUGGUUAUAGCUCUCGUACUCUGUGCGGGAGACCGGGGUUCGAUUCCUCUUGACGGCGAUUCAGCAUGGGCGAGUGAAUGUUACCAUAGCCCCCGGGUUAACCCAAGCCAUGUGAGGGAAAUUGGGAAGAUGGCACACUGUGUGGGCCGUUGGAUGUUGCCGGGAGUUGUCUAGUAGAGCGCAGGCUCUAAUUGGGUCUGUGUAGCUCAAAAUGAGCAUUAAAUACUCUAGAACUCUCCAUCUACGCCAUGGCCCCUCCUGGAAAUAAUAGACAGAGUAUAUCCCUCGAUAUUUGUGAGGCUAGCCAUGUAAAAUAUGCACAUCUAUCUAUCUAUCUAUCUAUCUAGUUUCUGCCACAAUUAUGUAAGUUUCAGCUACAAGUGGCACCAUAGUUUAAUGGCACUGUCGAAAAAAUAUGCUUGGUCAGCGUCAUUUCUAAUUAGCUACAACAGUCAAUUGGUCAGAUAAAAAAAUUUCCAAAAAAUUACAAAAAUACUAUAUUUCACAGCCAUAUUUGGUUAUUUGUUUUAAAUGUACGCCAGCUGUAUUUUUAGCCUCCGUUUCAAGUUCAAUUAACUUGGUUCCCAUGAUUUUCGCUUGUAUUGCCGUAUAAAUGCGAAGCAGGAAAAUAUAGCACUGAGUAGCAUAGCGCAGUCCCCUAUCGAAAUAACAUUUAGAUGUAACAACAGUAAUUGGGAGGACCACUGAAAUAGUAAACGCCGAAUUUUGUUGUGUGUCGAAGAUUGUUCGUGAAUUGUUUGGUUUAUUCUUUACAAAUUUACCGUCUCCCGGACUCGACUUUCGCCUUUCAAAGUGAGUCGGUUGGUGAUGCUAACCAAUUAUAUUUUUAAGGAUGGCCUUAUAACUCUUGCACUUUAUGUUGAAGACAGGGGUUCAAUUCCCCUUGGAGACAAUUGUGAGCAUGAUACUUUGUUUUCCGAGUUAUACAAUUAUUUAAUGUAACCAAUGUUGGCCAUGCAUUCUGAGCACCAGAAUAACAACGCAUGACAACAAAGGUUGGUUCAACCCAGUAUACCAUAGCAUGUGCACGUUGGAAGAGAGAAUGCCUGGAUUCUUUUUUUUAGGUUGAGCCUAGCUGAAUAAGUGUCCCCCUGGAACAGGCUUAAAAAUUUACCCAAUGUUUUUUUGUUUCAUACGGUAAUUACAAUAAUUAAUUACAGAGUAAUUUACAGAGUAACUAAUAUUUGUAUGACUUUAUAUCCAUGGAUGAAGCAUUGUUUGCAUAUAUACCUUAACAACUGGAGUAACAUCAAAUACAGCUGCAUUGGUUGGAAUAUUAUAUUUUGUUUGUGAAAGUGUCAAUAGAUUGGCUAGGAACUUUAAUAGGGAAGAGAAAUGUUAUGAUGUCAACAGGAAAAUACUGGGUUGAUCUACCAAUGGUUUUUAAUAAAUUUGAAUUUUAGAAAAAAGAAUAUAAAAGUAUUGCUGUGUAAGUUGCACGUGCUAUCACUAUCAGAAAAUUUGACAGACAAUAUUGUCGACAAAAGCGAUAGUGAGAGAAUUAGAGAAAGGAGAAUCUUUACUACAAGGGAAGUAAAAAGAUUUGAAGUUGAGAUGACCUAAAUCCACAUCAAGCAUGAUGAUUCGAUGGUGGUUCUGUUAAAUUUAAAAUUAUUGCUUUUGCAAUCUUACGUUAAAGUCCAAUAUUCAAGAAUUAACAAUUAGGGCCUACAAAAUAUUUUUCUGUUCGAUUUCCUUUUAAAUAUUUAAUAUUUUGUGUGGUAUUAUUUGUGAAGGUAAAACGUUAGUUAUAUGUAAAAGUUUUGCAUAUCGAAGAAAGCUUUCAAAUGGAAACAAAUCCAUA